CUAGAGAAAUGUUAAAGCUGGGCUUGAAGAAGAGUCUUGUGGUGAUGUAAAAUGCAUGUCCUUUAUGGAUGGCUGCUCAUAUGUGCAGUGUCAAGAAUUUUGGUGUAGAAAACCCCAUUUGGUAUUUUAUCCCUGCUAAAACAUCUUCUUCCAACUGAAACACUUCAGCUGCUUGGAUGAAGAUUGUCUUUCAAAUGAAAUAGCUGUUCUCAUACUUGCACUGAACAUUUUCUAACACCGUGGAACAGACGUGAUGGAUGCCACAGAAGGAAGGGCACGCUCCCAGGAAAGAGCAGAGGCAAAGCAACCAACCCCUUUUUUCCUGAGGACAAAUCCAAGUGCAUCUGGAUGAGCGUGAAGAAUGAGAAUAUGAAUACAGACAAUUAUGAUGGAGUAGAGGCCUUGUAAAUUUAUACCCAAACUUACCCCCUGUGACUGCAACAGAAGCCAAGAAAUCCUGCAGGUCAGCUGCCCAUGCUCAGCUGAGAAGAAACCAACACAGAGUUCAGCAGCACUGGCAGCUUUGCUCCAUGCACCCCUGUAAACUUGCUAAAGAAACCUUUCCAGAGCCUUCACCACAGCUGCAAAGCACAAACCCCACAACUGUGCUCUGCCAGAGGAAGAAAGUAAGAAUAUCCUAAGGGAAAAUUCACAGAGGAUCCUAGGAAGUGCUUACUUUCACCUCAGUUUGCACAUGUGUCUAGUAACAAAAUGACAGGUGAGCAAGCAAAAAAACUUGAUUUUUUUUAGGCAAUGUUGUUGUAGAUGAGA
rnacentral:lncRNA from 1 species